rnacentral:tRNA from 5 species
AGGGGUGUCGCCAAGUUGGUUAAGGCAUCGGAUUCUGAAUCCGAUAUCCGUAGGUUCGAGUCCUACCACCCCCGCCA